GACGAACGCUGGCGGCGUGCCUAAUACAUGCAAGUCGAACGAACGGAUUGAGGAGCUUGCUCUUCAAGAAGUUAGUGGCGGACGGGUGAGUAACACGUGGGUAACCUGCCCUUCAGCGGGGGAUAACAUCCGGAAACGGGUGCUAAUACCGCAUAGUUCUUUUUCCGCCUGGAAGAAGAAGGAAAGAUGGCCUUUGCGCUAUCGCUGAAAGAUGGCCUCGCGUCUGAUUAGCUAGUUGGUGAGGUAACGGCCCACCAAGGCGACGAUCAGUAGCCGGACUGAGAGGUUGAACGGCCACAUUGGGACUGAGAUACGGCCCAGACUCCUACGGGAGGCAGCAGUGGGGAAUAUUGGGCAAUGGGCGCAAGCCUGACCCAGCAACGCCGCGUGAAGGAAGAAGGCUUUCGGGUUGUAAACUUCUUUUGUCAGGGACGAGUAGAAGACGGUACCUGACGAAUAAGCCACGGCUAACUACGUG
rnacentral:rRNA from 1 species